rnacentral:lncRNA from 1 species
GAAAGACAUCAGAAGAAAUUCAAUAAUUAUAUAUUCAGCUCUAUUGAAGGUACAUUUGUUAAAUAUGAAUUACUAUCACUUAAAAAUUUAUCAAAUACCGAUCCUCUAUGAUAUUUAUUUUAUCUUCUCUCUUCAAAAAAUAAGUAUGAGGUCUAUUAAUUUUUUUACCAUCUCUCUCUUCUCUUUUCAUACCAAACAUGAUAAUCUCACAUGAGAUUCAUUUUUUCAUACUAGAUUAUCCCCAACCAAACAGAUCCUUACAGUCAAAUAAAUGAUUGCCUCAGCUAUGAGACAAAACAGUAGUCUUGCACCCCACU